UUCGCGCCUCCUGCUGCCUGUGCCGCGUGGUGUGGAGGUUAGUGCGGCGUGAAGCUGGGCGACGCGAACUCGCGGGCUGAGGGCAGGUGCGAUUUUUAUGAUCUCCGGCUCGGGCGGUGGGCUUCUUCCUCUUGUAGCAGUUUCAGUUCCUUUUUUUAGAUUAUUAUCUGUGAAGCAGUACCGAUACCAGCAAUAACAACACCUAAAAGUUUUGAGUAAGUGCCAAGCAGUGUGAUAUUUUGGAUUGAAUUUCAGUUUUGUUAUCUGCGUACUGGCAACACGCAUGUUUGUGUAUAUGGCCUUAUGUGGGCACUGGAGAAUUGAACUUGGGUCCUUACGCUUUGCAGGUUAAAGAAUGGACCCUCAAUGGAAGACAAGCACCAAAAAGAAAAACAUGUUCUUCAGAAAUGUGAGGAGAGGAGCACAUUAGAAAAGUAUUUUUCCGGAAACAAACAUGACUUUCCAUUCAACGUGUAGAUCUUGUUGGAUGUGUACUUAUAAAUGCAGAUAAUGUUUCAAGGAGCACAACCAUUUAUAUAAUUCCUACAAUACAUAUAUUUUUUGGAAAAAUAACCUUGCUUUGAAAAUUUUAAAGACAAUGACUUUCUACCAACUGCUCAAAAAUACAGGCUAUAGAGAAUGCUCUCUUCUUUAUUGACUGGCAUUUUGGCCUGAUGAGAAAAAAAACCCAAUAAAAUGAAAGGCUUCUGGCAGUCCGUCUCCCAUCUUCCUGCACUCCACGAUUACAGCCAGAAGUAGAAGUCUUAUGAAGAGGUGUUGAAGGUGACACCGAGGUUUUCUCUGCUUUAAUGAAGGCUGAAUGCAUCCUUGAUUUGGGGACACAAGUGGCAUUCAUUUUGUUGUUUUGUCAGGCUGCUGGUCUCCUCACCACCCGACUCCUGACUGUGCCCUUCCUGCUUAAAUAUUGUAGAAGCGCCUGGUGUUCUCAUGCAAGUGGUCAGAAUGUGAGAAACAGGCUCAUCUUUGACUUUGGCAAAUUUGUUGACUGCAUGCAUGACCAUGCCUGGGUAAGCAUAUCCGCAAGAGGCUUUAGGAAUGCUCUGAGGGAGAGAGUAAAGAGCAUCACUUUCAACAAGAACUCUUUCCAGUGGGAUUCUUUUCAAAGCUUCUUGGAUCUUCAAGCGGCCUUAGGAAUGCUCCGAGAGAGAAAGUAAAGAGCAUCACUUUUAACAAGACUCUUUCCAGUGGGAUUCUUUUCAGAGCUUCUUGGAUCUUCCAAGAAGAGGUGUAAUUCAGGACUGCUAUGCUACAUACAUGUUAGUAAAGUACUCUAGCAUAGGUUCAGUGACUCAGUAAUCAUCAGUGAGACAGUGCUUGUGGAUCUUGUAGUCCCAAGGCACACACUUUUUGUGAUGGCUAGCAGAUCAUCAUCAUUUCGGCAGUGGAUCACCACUGGCUUCCCAAAAGGCACUGCCAGCACCUGUCUCAAAUACCCUAAACUGCUCUCAGAUUGGUGUGGUGUAUUUCAGAGAGAAAUCUAAUCCCAUUUCUCCAAAGGCUACAGCCUUGGGGUGCAUGCAAGAUGCUUCUUUCCUGAUAGCCUGUGUAGUAAUGGGCAAACUGGGGUGAUAGCCAAAUACCCUCCAAUCACCUUUCUUUUUUUAAAUUUAUUUAUUUAUUGACAACUUUCAUAAGUAUAGACAAUAACCCAUGGUAAUUCCCCCCCCCCCGCCCCCCGCCACUCUUACCUUUGCAACUGUA